UUUAAGUGUGGUUGUGGGUUUCUUUGUCCAAUAUUUGACCAUCCAUCUUAUUUGAAAUUUUUUUAUGAUUAGUAUUUUUGUUUUUAUCAGAUAAUAAAACAUGAAUACUAGUUUUUAUACAUGACUUAUUUUUGUUAAUUUUUUAUAAAUAUUUCAAAUAAGAUGGACGGUUAAAUGUUGGAGACGAAAAUCAACAACUGCACUUAAA
rfam:Oryza barthii chromosome 12, whole genome shotgun sequence.